GAAGUAAUAUAUAUGCUUUGCAAGUUAAUAACAUGUAUAACCGACACUGCAUAUCUACCAAAAAUACCCCACAAUAAAUAUCAUACACACACGUAAAAA